AACACUGGGACUGAGACACUGCCCAGACUCCUACGGGAGGCUGCAGUCGAGAAUCAUUCGCAAUGGGCGAAAGCCUGACGAUGCGACGCCGUGUGAACGAUGAAGGCCUUCGGGUUGUAAAGUUCUUUCGCUUGGGAACAAGAGAUGUUAUCUAAU
rnacentral:rRNA from 1 species